rnacentral:rRNA from 1 species
CAGUCGCCGCGGGAACACAGAGGGUGCGAGCGUUAAUCGGAUUUACUGGGCGUAAAGCGUGCGUAGGCGGCUUCUUAAGUCGGAUGUGAAAUCCCUGAGCUUAACUUAGGAAUUGCAUUCGAUACUGGGAAGCUAGAGUAUGGGAGAGGAUGGUAGAAUUCCAGGUGUAGCGGUGAAAUGCGUAGAGAUCUGGAGGAAUACCGAUGGCGAAGGCAGCCAUCUGGCCUAAUACUGACGCUGAGGUACGAAAGCAUGGGGAGCAAACAGGAUUAGAGACCCCGGUAGUCCCUGUCUCUUAUAC